CCUACGGGGGGCAGCAGUGAGGAAUAUUGGUCAAUGGACGAGAGUCUGAACCAGCCAAGUAGCGUGAAGGAUGACUGCCCUAUGGGUUGUAAACUUCUUUUAUAUGGGAAUAAAAUGUUCCACGUGUGGGAUUUUGUAUGUACCAUAGGAAUAAGGAUCGGCUAACUCCGUGCCAGCAGCCGCGGUAAUACGGAGGAUCCGAGCGUUAUCCGGAUUUUUUGGGUUUAAAGGUAGCGUAGGUGGAUUUUUAAGUCAGUUGUGAAAGUUUGCGGCUCAACCGUAAAAUUGCAGUUGAAACUGGCAGUCUUGAGUACAGUAGAGGUGGGCGGAAUUCGUGGUGUAGCGGUGAAAUGCUUAGAUAUCACGAAGAACUCCGAUUGCGAAGGCAGCUCACUGGACUGCAACUGACACUGAGGCUCGAAAGUGUGGGUAUCAAACAGGAUUAGAUACCCUUGUAGUC
rnacentral:rRNA from 1 species